ACGGAGGGUGCAAGCGUUAAUCGGAAUUACUGGGCGUAAAGCGCACGCAGGCGGUUUAUUAAGUCAGAUGUGAAAUCCCCGGGCUCAACCUGGGAACUGCAUCUGAUACUGGCAAGCUUGAGUCUCGUAGAGGGGGGUAGAAUUCCAGGUGGGGCGCCCCCAGGACGAAGGAUGACGAGCAGGAGCGGAGGCGAGGGGAGCAAACAGGACGAGAACCCCAGGUCGUCUGCCAAAUCGUCUCUUACACACAG
rnacentral:rRNA from 1 species